CUCGUAGGUGGCCAACUAAGUCGGACGUGAAAUCCCUCGGCUUAACCGGGGAACUGCGUCUGAUACUGGAUGGCUUGAGUUCGGGAGAGGGAUGCGGAAUUCCAGGUGUAGCGGUGAAAUGCGUAGAUAUCUGGAGGAACACCGGUGGCGAUGGCGGCAUCCUGGACCGACACUGACGCUGAGGAGCGAAAGCCAGGGGAGCAAACG
rnacentral:rRNA from 1 species